rnacentral:rRNA from 1 species
AGCGUAGGUGGCCUAACAUGUCAACUGUGAAAACCCGGAGCUCAACUCCGGACUUGCAGUCGAAACUGGUAGGCUUGAGGACGGUAGAGGAAGACGGAACUGCCAGUGUAGGGGUAAAAUCCUUAGAUAUUGGCAGGAACGCCGGUGACGAAGGUGGUUUUCUGGGCCGGUUCUGACACUGAUGCUCGAAAGCCAGGGGAGCGAACG